UACAGAGGUCUCAAGCGUUGUUCGGAUUCAUUGGGCGUAAAGGGUGCGUAGGCGGCGCGGUAAGUCGGGUGUGAAAUCUUGGAGCUUAACUCCGAAACUGCAUUCGAUACUGCCGUGCUUGAGGACUGGAGAGGAGACUGGAAUUUACGGUGUAGCGGUGAAAUGCGUAGAUAUCAGGAGGAACACCGGUGGCGAAGGCGGCUUUCUGGACAGAAACUGACGCUGAUGCGCGAAAGCUAGGGGAGCAAACAGG
rnacentral:rRNA from 1 species